AAAUUGAAGAGUUUGAUCAUGGCUCAGAUUGAACGCUGGCGGCAGGCCUAACACAUGCAAGUCGAACGGUAACAGGAAGCAGCUUGCUGCUUUGCUGACGAGUGGCGGACGGGUGAGUAAUGUCUGGGAAACUGCCUGAUGGAGGGGGAUAACUACUGGAAACGGUGGCUAAUACCGCAUAACGUCGCAAGACCAAAGAGGGGGACCUUCUGGCCUCUUGCCAUCAGAUGUGCCCAGAUGGGAUUAGCUUGUUGGUGAGGUAACGGCUCACCAAGGCGACGAUCCCUAGCUGGUCUGAGAGGAUGACCAGCCACACUGGAACUGAGACACGGUCCAGACUCCUACGGGAGGCAGCAGUGGGGAAUAUUGCACAAUGGGCGCAAGCCUGAUGCAGCCAUGCCGCGUGUAUGAAGAAGGCCUUCGGGUUGUAAAGUACUUUCAGCGGGGAGGAAGGUGUUGUGGUUAAUAACCGCAGCAAUUGACGUUACCCGCAGAAGAAGCACCGGCUAACUCCGUGCCAGCAGCCGCGGUAAUACGGAGGGUGCAAGCGUUAAUCGGAAUUACUGGGCGUAAAGCGCACGCAGGCGGUCUGUCAAGUCGGAUGUGAAAUCCCCGGGCUCAACCUGGGAACUGCAUUCGAAACUGGCAGGCUUGAGUCUUGUAGAGGGGGGUAGAAUUCCAGGUGUAGCGGUGAAAUGCGUAGAGAUCUGGAGGAAUACCGGUGGCGAAGGCGGCCCCCUGGACAAAGACUGACGCUCAGGUGCGAAAGCGUGGGGAGCAAACAGGAUUAGAUACCCUGGUAGUCCACGCCGUAAACGAUGUCUACUUGGAGGUUGUGCCCUUGAGGCGUGGCUUCCGGAGCUAACGCGUUAAGUAGACCGCCUGGGGAGUACGGCCGCAAGGUUAAAACUCAAAUGAAUUGACGGGGGCCCGCACAAGCGGUGGAGCAUGUGGUUUAAUUCGAUGCAACGCGAAGAACCUUACCUGGUCUUGACAUCCACGGAAGAAUUCAGAGAUGGAUUUGUGCCUUCGGGAAC
rnacentral:rRNA from 1 species